rnacentral:misc_RNA from 1 species
ACACCUCAACUCCUCAUGGUUUUCCAUGACGAGCUUGGACUUUGGGGGUUUCGUUGCUGGCCUAUGGUCAGCUCCUCUAAAAUGAAUCAGCUUGCCAGUGUUUGGUGGGCAUCACAGGUGUGAUAACCAUCUACGCUUGUGGUUUUCCAUCAGGUAACCUUCGGCAGUGGAGGUUCACUGGAGCUCACAGAUGUCUCUCCUUGAUGAGGACAGCCCUUUGAAC